UAGAUUUAGUAUUGUCCUACAUUUUUCAAGGCUUAUAAAAAUUAGAAAAAUGAAAGAGAAAAGGGAAUUGUUAUCUCUCCUGCCUUGAUAAAUUUUAACACCGAAAACCUUUUAAUUUUUCUACUCAAUAAUUGAGCACUUCCCCACACUGAUAUUUGCAGAUGUAUGGUUGCAUUCCUGACGAUUGUAAAAAUCUUGUUCUGAAGCUGUUGAUUUAGGUUAUGACUGUUUAGAGUGGCAAAUUUGUGUCUCGAAUAAACCUUGCUAAUGGAGAAGUUGUUCCUGAAAGAAGUGCACUAGACAAAGGUGUCCUUGAUAUCUUGUCUGGGGAUAUGCCUAAAGGUAGUAAGAUUCAGACCAAGCAUCUCGAGGUAUUGAUUGAGUUGCAACUUGCACAACAUGGCGAGUGCUUUUGCAAGGAAUAUUCAACAUUUGUUCUCGGAUUCUGCUCUUUAGGUUUUAUUGGACAUACUGAAGGCAAUAUAUUCCCCUUACGAAUCCUUUAAACAGAGAUAUGGACAGAUAGAAUGUAUAAUCCUGUCUUCUGAGAUUGCUGGACUGGAUCUUAGGGGAGCUGUUGGGGGUCAGGCAUUCAACUAUGUGGAACAUUUCGAAGUAUGCAAGAAUCUAUUCCACAAGUUAUUGUGCUUCUUGAUGCAGCUUUGGAGAGAUGCAUCAAUUUACUGGAGGUUCCGAGGCAGGGGAACUUAUUUUGGCAAUUGACGAUAUUAUGAUGCAGUUUAUUCCAUUUUUCAACAAACAUUGAAAUCAUUGGGCGCUGUAUGUGGAGUGGACUUCACCAGUGAUGCCACUGGUACAAAGAAAGAAAUUGGUUCGGACAGAAGGGAAGGAGCCUAUAAUGCGCACAGAUUAGAGACUAGCUUAGAAGAAGAAGAGUGGUCUAUUGUCCAGGGAGCAUUGCAGAUUCUUACAGUUGCGGAUCGUCUAACAAGCAGGUCUUCAGUGUUAGAAGCUUCCUUGAGAUCUACUCUUCCCCGUCUGAGCACUAGUUCUCAAUGGAUAUCAGUGGAGACAGUUGAAGAACUGCAACUGCAACUACCAACAACUCAAUAAGAUAUGAAUAUGGGAGUGUUGGAUGCCUUUGCGUACUUGCUCAAAAUGAAGAGACUUUUAAAGUGUGGGUAAUGCAAGAUUAUGGAAUUCCAGAAUCUUGUACAAAACUGUAUACCAUUACGUAUGAGAGUGUGCCAUCAGAAAAGUCAUCGGAAUAAGCAUCAGUCAGUGGAAUAAGCGACUAAAAGUCAUUGGAAAAUCGUUUCACACUUACCAUGGAGAACUCUCUGAGAGAGAUACCGUGAACUAUUGUUGGACAACUGUUUAAAUCUUAUAUUGAAUGCCAUGGGAUUGAGUCCCAGCUUUCAAAUUUCCAACACUUAACUAUUUUUUUUUGCGCGGUUUUCGGUCAAUUCCUAGACUUUCAAUCUCAAGCCCUCUUCCAAUACAUCAUUCUUCAGCUGAAUACAAGUGGAUUAGAUCGUAGCAGAGACCAUGGUCUGGGUAAAGAAGCGAAUUCACCACUUAUUUAGGGAUGAAAUUCUCAACUUCCUGACCGGGUUUGUAUAGAUGUGAUAUGGCCUUUCAGUUUCCAACUAGCUGAUAGGAAAAUCGUAACCUACACAUUUACUCCUCUUUUGGUUCCUCAAGUACCAUUUCAUUACUUUCUCAGGCGGCCGAGUUGAUUUGAUUCUCUACUAUCCAGUUAGCCGUUCAUUCUAGCAUUACACAGGCUCCCUUGCGUAUCUGUGUAUUUCCGGCUUCAAACAGUACCACCUUUUAGUUCAUUUGAGUACUCCAUUCUAUAACUCAGUAAAAGACAGGAAGCCAGCAGAAUCUCAACUGAAUUCAAUUGCUUGCAGGCUGGCAACGCGAAAUAUCCAAUCUGUUCAUGGUUUCUGAAUUUCACUGCACAGCGUAGUGUAUAUCUGGUGCAUUGCAUUAGUAUAAAUUCUCUCUGUAUCUCUAACAAGUGACAACAGCUCACAAGGAAAAGUAUAAAAUCAUCAAUUACACCUGUUAUUCAAUUCGGAUCCUAAAACGGUUUUAGGCCCAAUCAUUGGAAACAGGCUUGAGUUUGAAGCUCUUCAUUUUUCUAGGCCCAACUAGUGUUGUUAGUAUUGCUCCCACGGUUUCUCAAAGGCAAUGACUAAUUUUUUUUUGGGAAAAUUAGGGGGAGACCCAAAAAAAAAAUAAUAUUCUCAU